GAUGAACGCUGGCGGCGUGCCUAACACAUGCAAGUCGAACGGAGAUUACGGACGGAAGUUUUCGGAUGGAAGCCUGUAAUUCUUAGUGGCGGACGGGUGAGUAACGCGUGGGCAACCUGCCCUAUACAGGGGGAUAGCAGCUGGAAACGGCUGGUAAGACCGCAUAAGUCGGUUAAAUCGCAUGAUUUGAUCGGGAAAUGAGCAAUCAGGUAUAGGAUGGGCCCGCGUCCGAUUAGCCAGUUGGCAGGGUAAAAGCCUACCAAAGCGACGAUCGGUAGCCGGACUGAGAGGUCGGCCGGACACAUUGGGAGUGAGACACGGCCCAAACUCCUACGGGAGGAAGCAGGGGGGGAUAAUGCACAAUGGAGGAAACUCGGAUGAAGCGACGCCGCGUGAGUGAGGAAGUAGUUCGGUAUGUAAAGCUCUAUCAGCAGGGAAGCUGAUGACGGUAACUGACUAAGAAGCCACGGCUAACUACGUG
rnacentral:rRNA from 1 species